GAAGGGUCUAUGAUUUGGCACAGAUCUAUUCUGGACACAGAGGCAGCAGACUGACACAUUUUGCCUGUGAACUGGAGAGGGAGGCUGGAAAUACCACCCAGCCCGUCAGGGGAUUCACUCUGAACAGAGUUCAAAGGUUUGGCUUUACCUCCUCCAAAUGGUGCCCAGAUGACCCGCCGUAUGGCCUUGACCCAGUCGUCCAUAUCGCUCUGGGAGUUUGCCAUGAGCAGGAAGGAUUCAUGGCUGAUGGGUGCCCGAUCCUUCUCUCCUGUUCCGCCUGCAGGGACGCACAAGGAAAGGAAAAAGAAGCGUACAAGUCCACUCCGUCCAUGUCAAAGAGCUUCUGGAUGCACUUUGGAACAGCUGCAAUCCCCAUCAAACUGGGGCUCAGUCACCGUUUACCUUCCAGUGUCAGCUCCACGCUGUUCUGGGCUGUUUUCCAGUCAUUCCUCGGAUCCUCGACUCACCCACUCUGCAAUACUCACGUCAUCGGACGCUGGUCUUCUCUGUUUAAUCUCAGCCGCGACUCAUACUCCGCCUGCCUGCCCUAAUGUCUUCACUAUUCGGA